AAAAGGGCAAGCAUUUGUCACUGUUUAAUCAUGAAUGUUUCGUUUGCAUAUGUCUGUGCAUCGUGCCCAGGGAAGCCAGAAGUGGGUAUCAGAUUCCCUGGGACUGGAGUUAUAGAUGGCUGUGAGUCACCAUUCAGAUGCUGGGAACUGAAGUGGGUUAAGCAGCAGCCAACGCUCUUAACUGCUAAACCAUCUCUCCAGCCCAUGUUUAAACUUUGUAACAUACUCCCAAGUUACAGAAUUUUGCCUUUUGAAACAGGUCUUGAUGGGCAGCUGGCCUCGAACUCGCAGAUUUGCAGCCUGAGUGCUGGAAUUCUAACACUUGGAAAAGAUCAGCAAAGAGAGUUUGAGUGUCACUCAAGAGCCCCGUCCUCCUGCACAGAGAGCCACGUUUGUCAAGAAACCAGCAUUUAUCCACCUAUUUGUUGCACACCUACUGUGUGCUAGGAGUUCCGCCAUCUUUACUGAGGUCAAGAGCUGUGGUUUUGCGUGGGCAUUCUGUAUUCACAAAGGAAAGGGCUACCAACUUGGGGUCCCGUGUUCCAGGCAAGCCAUGUGUCUGGCAGGUACAAAGUGUUUCUAGCACCUCACCAGGCCCUCAGGACAAACUGUGAAGAGCACCUCUUUUCCUGCUGCUGGCAUGCAAAUGAGGGUUUCUACAGAGACCACUUCCACUGAGGGAGAAUGAGAAGGGAGAGGAGGAGGGAGCAUGGGCUUGCUGGGUAUGCUGCAUUUCCACCAGCUUUACUGGAUGCCAUAUGGAAAAAGUACCACAGGUGGAUCCGGUGUCUUAAGGAAGUGGCAGAGGCAGUGGGUGAAAAGGACAAAGAGGUAUUUGUCUUUUGGAGCCUCCAGGAGGAACAAGCCACAGACACUUGACUUCUAAUGCCCUUGGACUUCUCUCCAGAAGUGUAAAGUGACAAACAGAUUUGCAAUUUGGUUACAGCAAAUAGAAACUGGUAUUUUUACAACUA